rnacentral:rRNA from 1 species
UACGAAGGGGGCUAGCGUUGUUCGGAAUCACUGGGCGUAAAGCGCACGCAGGCGGAUCGUUAAGUCAGGGGUGAAAUCCCGAGGCUCAACCUCGGAACUGCCUUUGAUACUGGCGAUCUUUGAGUCCGGGAGAGGUGAGUGGAACUCCGAGUGUAGAGGUGAAAUUCGUAGAUAUUCGGAAGAACACCAGUGGUGAAGGCGGCUCACUGGCCCGGUACUGACGCUCAGGUGCGAAAGCGUGGGGAGCAAACAGG